rnacentral:lncRNA from 1 species
AUGCCAAAUUGAACUUUAAGGCUAUAGGGUAUGGGGACCGUCCCCAUCCCCGUCGAGCUUCGGCGCCGGACGAACACCAUCCUGCCCCUCCACCGUCCCGUCCUCUCCGUCUAGCCUAAGACGUUGGCGACGUUCCUCAAAAGUGGGUUCCACUUAUCUUCUACCUUCAAACCCUCAUUUCCACUCUCGAUUUCUUCCGGAACCACACUCAUCCUGCACAAAUCAAGGUUUCCAGUGAGAGAUGGUGCCGAAAAAUGAAGCGACUGAAGAGCCGUUGGCCGAUUCUCCGACUUCUGUGCUUGAAGAUGAGUGAAACUAUAUCUGGAGUUUUAUCAAACAAGCAAUAAAAGCAAACGGACUCAGAUUUUAGUAUUCAGUUAUUAGUAUUUUCAGUUCUUUUAUGAUCAAAAUUUGCAUCGUCUUCACAUGCUUUUAUGAAAUUGUCUUCAUGGAUGGAGUGAAUCUCAGUUUAAUCAAGUUCUGAAUUAUGAGUUAGAUCAAAUGAUCAAGGCUUACUAGUUGCUUAGUGAGGCUGCUGCACUAAAGUUCACAGUGUAUUGUUGCUCAAUAGAGGCACCACACAAAACUCUUUCAAGCUAAUGGCCCUGAAAAUGUUCCUUCUGGUCUGUAUAUUUAAUAGGUACUGUAGUAGACAAUGCUGUGGAGCACCCAAGAAAUUAUCAGGUUUCACUUGGAGAUGUUUGUAGCUUCGAUGACUUGAAAGAAAGAAUGGCGGUUUACUUGAGCCAAAGUAACUGCCAUGAGAUUCUUGAUGAUAUGACUCAUGUUACAAAGAAUAUUGAUGAAGGAAGACUUAAAAUGAAGGCCCACUGUCCAAUAGUUGCUGAUGUUGGAAUGAAGGAGAAUGCUUUGAAGAUUCUAAUGAGUUAUAACCCUGUUUGGUUAACAUGAUGCUUUGGGUUAUGUGGUAUUUUAAAUUUAGCGAUUUUGAUAGUAAUACCGGCGACACCAAUAACAACCACUAUCCUUCAAAGGGGACAAGCUCAAGCUCCGUACCUUACCAACGACAACUUCCGUCACCGCCGACAAGCUCUAUCAAGCAUCACCGUAAUGUCGACAAGCUCAAGCUCCGACCAGUUUUGUUUUAUUAUUUAGAAAAUGAAUAGUGUAAUUUUACGUAGAAUCCAUUUUUGAAAUGAGAUUUGAAUGAGAAGUUAUGUAAUCUUCAAAUUUAUUAGUUCCGACAAAUUGAACAUCAAAUCAUUUGGGACACCCGUUGCAACGCGCGAGCAUUCUCACUAGUAUUAAUAAAAUUAUUUUGUUAGUUU